GAUGAACGCUAGCUACAGGCUUAACACAUGCAAGUCGAGGGGUAACAAGAGAAAAGCUUGCUUUUCUUGUUGACGACCGGCGCACGGGUGAGUAACGCGUAUCCAACCUGCCUAUAACUAGGGAAUAACCUUGCGAAAGUAAGACUAAUACCCUAUGAUUUCCUUUGAUGACAUCAGAUUAGGAAUAAAGAUUUAUCGGUUAUAGAUGGGGAUGCGUCUGAUUAGCUUGUUGGCGGGGUAACGGCACAACAAGGCAACGAUCAGUAGGGGUUCUGAGAGGAAGGUCCCCCACAUUGGAACUGAGACACGGUCCAAACUCCUACGGGAGGCAGCAGUGAGGAAUAUUGGUCAAUGGGCGGAAGCCUGAACCAGCCAAGUAGCGUGCAGGAUGACGGCCCUAUGGGUUGUAAACUGCUUUUAUACAGGAAUAAAGUUAGCCACGUGUGGUUAUUUGUAGGUACUGUAUGAAUAAGGACCGGCUAAUUCCGUGCCAGCCGCCGCAGUAA
rnacentral:rRNA from 1 species